GGGGGGGGGGGGGGGGGGGGGGGGGGGGGGGGGGGGGGGGGGGGGGGGGGGGGGGGGGGGGGGGUGGUGGCCGCCGCCGCCCUCCGCCCGGCGCCGCUCCCGGCCGGCCCCGCGGGCCCGCUCCCCGCCGGCCGCCGAGCUCCGAGCGACCCCCGCGCCUCCCGCGCCUUCCUCCGCCCUUACGAGGCGGCAUCGUCCUACCCCCUGCUCCGCCACCUCCUCCUCCGGCGCGCAGCCCGCGGCUCUGGCAUUCCCAACGCGCUUGCUCUCCUCGAUUCGCUCGCUCUUUCCUCCGCCGUUCCUCCUUCUCCGAUCACAUGAGGAGCAGGCACGGCGACCCAGGACCCUCGUAAGUCGGAGAAGGCAUCGGACACAUACUGUACAUCUGGGAGAUGAUUUUGGAGGUGUGAAGAAGAACAAACAUCACUCCCUGGCAUGUGUUCUACUCCAGAUGAGCAUGUCAGCACACUCUUUUUGA
rnacentral:lncRNA from 1 species